UACGUAGGGUGCAAGCGUUGUCCGGAAUUAUUGGGCGUAAAGAGCUCGUAGGCGGUCUGUCGCGUCGGAUGUGAAAACUCGGGGCUCAACCCCGGGCCUGCAUUCGAUACGGGCAGACUAGAGUUCGGCAGGGGAGACUGGAAUUCCUGGUGUAGCGGUGAAAUGCGCAGAUAUCAGGAGGAACACCGGUGGCGAAGGCGGGUCUCUGGGCCGAAACUGACGCUGAGGAGCGAAAGCAUGGGGAGCGAACAGG
rnacentral:rRNA from 1 species